GCUUGUUGGUAAGGUAACGGCUUACCAAGGCUAAGACGGCUAGGGGGCGUGAGAGCGCGAUCCCCCACAAUGGGACUGAGACACGGCCCAUACUCCUACGGGAGGCAGCAGUGAGGAAUAUUGUCCAAUGGACGCAAGUCUGAGACAGCAACGCCGCGUGAACGAUGAAGGCCUUCGGGUCGUAAAGUUCUUUUCUGGGGGACGAUAAUGACGGUACCUCAGGAAUAAGUCCCGGCUAACUACGUGCCAGCAGCCGCGGUAAAACGUAGGGGGCGAGCGUUAUCCGGAUUUAUUGGGCGUAAAGCGCACGUAGGCGGCGCGGUAAGUUGGACGUGAAAGCUCCCGGCUCAACUGGGAGAGGUCGUUCAAAACUAUCGUGCUCGAGGUUGGAAGAGGAGAGUAGAAUUCCCGGUGUAGUGGUGGAAUGCGUAGAUAUCGGGAGGAAUACCAGUGGCGAAAGCGACUCUCUGGUCCACACCUGACGCGGAGGUGCGAAAGCGUGGGUAGCGAACGGGAUUAGAUACCCCGGUAGUCCACGCUGUAAACGAUGGAUACUAGGUGUAGGGGGUCACUUAACCCCUCUGUGCCGGAGCAAACGCGUUAAGUAUCCCGCCUGGGGACUACGGCCGCAAGGCUAAAACUCAAAGGAAUUGACGGGGGCCCGCACAAGCAGCGGAGCGUGUGGUUUAAUUCGAUGAUACGCGAAGAACCUUACCUGGGCUGAACUACGUGGUAGUAGAGAAGCGAAAGUGGAUCGACCCUUCGGGGAGCCUCGAUAGGUGCUGCAUGGCUGUCGUCAGCUCGUGUCGUGAGAUGUUGGGUUAAGUCCCGCAACGAGCGCAACCCUCGUCGUUAGUUAUACGUGUCUAGCGAGACUGCCGGUAUCAAACCGGAGGAAGGUGGGGAUGACGUCAAGUCAGCAUGGUCUUUAUGUCCAGGGCUACACACACGCUACAAUGGCUGGUACAACAGGUUGCCACAUCGCGAGAUGGAGCUAAUCCCCAAAGCCAGUCUCAGUUCGGAUUGCAGUCUGCAACUCGACUGCAUGAAGGUGGAGUUGCUAGUAACCGCGCGUCAGCAUAGUGCGGUGAAUGCGUUCCCGGGCCUUGUACACACCGCCCGUCACAUCAUGGAAGUCGGUAACACCUGAAGUCGGUGACCUAACCGCAAGGAAGGAGCUGCCUAAGGUGGGACCGGUAACUGGGAUGAAGUCGAAACAAGGUAGCUGUAGCGAAGCUGCGGCUG
rnacentral:rRNA from 1 species